UCAUUUUUACGUGCUGAAAAGUAUGAAACUUCAUAAUUUAAAAGAUUAUGAGAAACUUACCGUUUUCAUGUUUGAUGAAGUUAAAAUAUCAAAUACAACAGAGUAUGAUGUACUGCAUAACGAGUUUAGUUUAUUGGUCCACAUAAUCAAAUGCAAGUUGUAAUGGCUAAUAUCUAUAAAUCUUGGAGAGCAUUCAGAUUCAGCAAUCAAGAAAAAGUAUAAAUUUGAAUAGGAUAAUAAAUUCAACUGUAAGUACAACUACGAUACCACGAGAAGAUCUUCCUCAAGACGCAUCGAGUUCAAUACAGUCUAAAGAAGAUAUUAAAGAUGGUGAUUCUACACAACAAAUACAUGAAACCUUUCUCAACGCAUUUCAUCUAAGACAGGGUUUCACUUAACACUUUCUUAAAUACACUGGGGACCACUAAAUGAAAAAAAAAUCUCUUAACAAGAAUUCGGAUUCGCUGUGGCUGCUAUACAAACAUGAUACCUACAUACCUACAUACCUAAGUAGAGAACUGAUUUUAAUCAUGGUUUUGGAUGUUACUCAUUGCACGUAUGCCUACGUUUUAUACUUAAAUAGUUCCUCCUUGAUAAUGCUAUUAAAGCAAUGAAAUCUGCUGUUAGCGAAUUUCAAAUAUUUGGCCAACAUAAUAUUGCAGUUAAACUUCAUAAACUCUCUAUAAAAGUAGCACCUGAUCUACAAACAAGCAUUCAAAAGAUGAUAACAAGCGCUUGUCUUCAGGUUAUGAAUAGUUUAGGUUAUAAAUUCAACUUCAAGUACAAGUACCAUAUCACGCAUGAAGAUCUUCCUCAACACACAUUGACUUCUAGUUUGGAUUUUGAUAAAUAUUUAAUUCAUUAUUUUCACUUUAGUUUUAUAUUAAGUAUAAUAUUAUAUUCAAGUCAAUAGGCGGUACACUAGUGAGGUACACUUUUUUUAUGUGCGUUAACCGAUUAUACUUAAUACAUUUAAAUAUUUGU